UGUAGCAGCUAGCUCUCUGCAACUAAAACAAGGUCGCCCACUGAAGCUAAGCAGGGCUGUGCCCGGUCAGUACCUGGAUGGGAGACCACAUGGGAAAGCUAGGUUGCUGCCAGAA
ensembl:rRNA 5S_rRNA 5S ribosomal RNA